CGAACAUGUAUCCGCUUACCCGA
rnacentral:snRNA from 1 species